UUUACUCCGGCAUCCUUUUAUUUAAUAAAUCUUCAGCCAGCAGCCCUGUCACCACGCAGGGGCCGCGCUAUGCAGACUGGGAAGAGCAGACAGGAAGCUCCUCCCCCUCUCUCACUCCCCUGUAUGCUGCUGCUGGACCUUGUGGAGCAGGCCUGCUGUGUGUAUACAGGCCCGGACACCACCAGUAUGGAAGACUUACCUGCCCAGUGCCCACUGCUGAUGCUGCCCUUUUAAAGUUGUGAAUGCAAAACACACUGAAGAGACUGCAGCCGGCGCGCACCUCCUUGUACAGCUUACGGUGACAUCAUCACAAGCAUGUGUGACAUCACAAGGUUCUAAACCAUCUUCAGAUCCCACGGUAGGGGAGAUUAUAAAGUCAGGUGUGAGAUUUGCAGCGAGGCGGGCACCUACUCUAUCCAAUCUCCUUGUUCCCAGUAUGGUGGACACGGUGCUAAUCCACUGGGUGGUAACACUAGCCAAGGGCUUCCACAAGUGCGGUAAAUCGCGGUGUGUGGUAUGUCCCUUUGCCGAAAAA